rnacentral:rRNA from 1 species
AGUGAACGCUGGCGGUAGGCCUAACACAUGCAAGUCGAACGGCAGCACAGUAAGAGCCUGCUCUUACGGGUGGCGAGUGGCGGACGGGUGAGGAAUACAUCGGAAUCUACUUUUUCGUGGGGGAUAACGUAGGGAAACUUACGCUAAUACCGCAUACGACCUACGGGUGAAAGCAGGGGAUCUUCGGACCUUGCGCGAUUGAAUGAGCCUAUGUCGGAUUAGCUAGUUGGCGGGGUAAAGGCCCACCAAGGCGACGAUCCGUAGCUGGUCUGAGAGGAUGAUCAGCCACACUGGAACUGAGACACGGUCCAGACUCCUACGGGAGGCAGCAGUGGGGAAUAUUGGACAAUGGGCGCAAGCCUGAUCCAGCCAUACCGCGUGGGUGAAGAAGGCCUUCGGGUUGUAAAGCCCUUUUGUUGGGAAAGAAAAGCAGCAGGUUAAUACCCCGCUGUUCUGACGGUACCCAAAGAAUAAGCACCGGCUAACUUCGUG